UACGUAGGGGGCUAGCGUUGUCCGGAUUUAUUGGGCGUAAAGAGCGUGUAGGCGGCCAUGUAGGUCCGGUGUGAAAACUCGAGGCUUAACCUCGAGAUGUCAUCGGAAACCAUUUGGCUAGAGUCCGGAAGAGGAGAGUGGAAUUCCUGGUGUAGCGGUGAAAUGCGCAGAUAUCAGGAAGAACACCAAUGGCGAAAGCAGCUCUCUGGGACGGUACUGACGCUGAGACGCGAAAGCGUGUGGAGCGAACAGG
rnacentral:rRNA from 1 species